rnacentral:rRNA from 1 species
AAGCGCGCGUAGGUGUUUUNUAAGUUGGAAGUGNAAGCCCCGGGCUCNACCUNGGNAAUUGCNUUUCAAAACUAGCAGGCUAGAGUCCAGUAGAGGGUAGUGGAAUUUCCUGUGUAGCGGUGAAAUGCGUAGAUAUUAGGAGGGAACACCAGUGGCGAAGGCGGCUUUCUGGACUGUCACUGACACUGAGGCACGAAAGCGUGGGUAGCAAACAGGAUUAGAUACCCUGGUAGUCCACGCCGUAAAC